rnacentral:rRNA from 1 species
UACGUAGGGUGCGAGCGUUAAUCGGAAUUACUGGGCGUAAAGCGUGCGCAGGCGGUUCGUUAAGUUCGUUGUGAAAGCCCCGGGCUCAACCUGGGAACUGCAAUGGAAACUGGCGGGCUUGAAUGCGGCAGAGGGGGGUGGAAUUCCGCGUGUAGCAGUGAAAUGCGUAGAGAUGCGGAGGAACACCGAUGGCGAAGGCAGCCCCCUGGGUCAAGACUGACGCUCAUGCACGAAAGCGUGGGGAGCAAACAGG